GACGAACGCUGGCGGCGUGCUUAACACAUGCAAGUCGAGCGGAAAGGCCACUUCGGUGGUACUCGAGCGGCGAACGGGUGAGUAACACGUGAGUAAUCUGCCCCUGGCUUUGGGAUAGCCACCGGAAACGGUGAUUAAUACCAGAUACGACCACUUCUCGCAUGGGAUGGUGGGGGAAAGUUUUUUCGGCCAGGGAUGUGCUCGCGGCCUAUCAGCUUGAUGGUGAGGUAAUGGCUCACCAUGGCUUCGACGGGUAGCCGGCCUGAGAGGGUGACCGGUCACACUGGGACUGAGACACGGCCCAGACUCCUACGGGAGGCAGCAGUGGGGAAUAUUGGACAAUGGGCGGAAGCCUGAUCCAGCAACGCCGCGUGAGGGAUGACGGCCUUCGGGUUGUAAACCUCUUUCAGCAGGGACGAAGCGCAAGUGACGGUACCUGCAGAAGAAGCACCGGCCAACUACGUGCCAGCAGCCGCCGUAA
rnacentral:rRNA from 1 species